GGCAUAUGUAUUUUACAGAAAAUGGAGUGAAGAAAAGGUACAUUAGAAAAACACUGUGUCUGAGUGACUUGAAAAGAAGGCUGGAUGCUGUAACUGCAGGGUUGUCUAAGGUGGGAUUUCUGGAGAGAGGAAAUUGCACAGGAUGCUAUCCCRUCUUCCCUGAGCCUCAUGAUAGACCCAGAGGCUGGACUGUAAGACUUUGUCAUUAUCAGCAGAAACAUUUCAGACAAUAUUUGGAGCUUGCACUCAAAGAACAAGCUGCAAUGUUUCCAAGGCCUUCGUGUCCAAAGGAGAAGAAAUCCUGGAGAAAUGACAGCUCCAGGGAGAAAAUGCACUCCAGAUAUAUUUGMAAUUAAAUGGCCAGACUCCAGGCAGACAUGUGAAUGCUCCAGACACAGAGAAGGAAGAUAAGCGGCUCAAAAACCUUGGCUGAGGGAGUGAAGACAUAAAGAGAAAUGCCAAGAAAAUGAAGGAGUAUGGCAAUUCAAAUUUUGAACGUGACCACAGAAUCGUGAUAAGCGUGUAUUUAAAAAGACCUUUGUUUUCAAAUAGCAUUAGCCCUCCUCAGCAAACCAACUCCUUGUCAAAUUCUCUUCUCCUUAAAUAUUGUGUGUGUCCAAGGGCUGACCAAGACCAUUAAAAAGCAUUCAGACUUGUAUCAUUCUUCCUUUAAAGUCCCAUUUUGAGGAGGGGGAGAUCAAAGGCAAAAGCAUUACUUCAAUGCUUCUUUUUACCUUCAAAAAAUAAGAAGUGUCAGAUACGCUUUCAAAUGCCUAAUGUAUCAUGUUAAAGCUCAAUUU